rnacentral:rRNA from 1 species
AUUGAACGCCGGCGGCAGGCCUAACACAUGCAAGUCGAACGGUAGCACAGAGAGCUUGCUCUCGGGUGACGAGUGGCGGACGGGUGAGUAACGUCUGGGAAACUGCCCGAUGGAGGGGGAUAACUACUGGAAACGGUAGCUAAUACCGCAUAACGUCGCAAGACCAAAGUGGGGGACCUUCGGGCCUCACACCAUCGGAUGUGCCCAGCUGGGAUUAGCUAGUAGGUGGGGUAAUGGCUCACCUAGGCGACGAUCCCUAGCUGGUCUGAGAGGAUGACCAGCCACACUGGAACUGGGACGGGGUCCAGACUCCUACGGGAGGCAGCAGUGGGGAGUAUUGCACAAUGGGCGCAAGCCUGAUGCAGCCAUGCCGCGUGUAUGAAGAAGGCCUUCGGGUUGUAAAGUACUUUCAGCGGGGAGGAAGGCGGUGAAGUUAAUAACUUCACCGAUUGACGUUACCCGCAGAAGAAGCACCGGCUAACUCCGUGCCAGCAGCCGCGGUAA